GAAAUUAUUAUUGCAGAAGCUGCAUUGUUGCCACUAUCAGAUAACAAAGCGGACGUAGAUAAAAAUUGCGGGAACUGCAUCUUAGUUAUAAAUACACCAACAUGACCUAUUUCGUAAUUCAAAAAUAGGGGAAAAACUGCAGCUGUUGCAAGAAAUGGGUAAUGCACACACCGAUGACGUUAGCGCAUGCGUCACAACUAAACGGAAAUCUGAAACAAUCAAAACAAGUUAUAAUAAAUUUGUUUCUAUUGGGUAACGGUGUCCUAUCAUCCGAAUUAACAGUCUAGGCACCGACAACAAAAUGUUUUUUCAGUUCAGAAAAUACUACCUGAAGCGUUAGCCCCCCUUUCACCAAUUGUGGCUAUAUUUGAUGUGCUCUUCCAAUUCUGCACAAAUCAUCCCUUUCACUUCUACAUUCACAAAUGUUCUACAAUUGAAGACACGCCAAAAAUCAAUACAAUUUUCCAUUUGGGGCUCCAAUUACCAUCAAAUGCUUGAAAAAAAUCAGUCCUCUUGAAAUUUGGAGUUGGAACUAAUUUAAUAAUCUAUAAUAAA